rnacentral:rRNA from 1 species
UUACGGAAGGCAGCAGUCGGGAAUUUUGGGCAAUGGGCGAAAGCCUGACCCAGCAACGCCGCGUGAGGGAUGAAGGCCUUCGGGUCGUAAACCUCUUUUCUCAGGGACGAUGAUGACGGUACCUGAGGAAUAAGCCACGGCUAACUACGUGCCAGCAGCCGCGGUAAUACGUAGGUGGCGAGCGUUGUCCGGAUUUACUGGGCGUAAAGAGCGCGCAGGCGGUCGUACAAGUCGAAUGUGAAAGCCCCCGGCUCAACUGGGGAGGGUCAUUCGAUACUGUUCGACUCGAAGGCAGGAGAGGGAAGUGGAAUUCCCGGUGUAGUGGUGAAAUGCGUAGAUAUCGGGAGGAACACCAGUGGCGAAGGCGACUUCCUGGCCUGUUCUUGACGCUGAGGCGCGAAAGCUAGGGUAGCAAACGGGAUUAGAUACCCCGGUAC